rnacentral:lncRNA from 1 species
GCAUACCGUUUUUAAUGGGAGAAUUGUGAAAUACUUAAAAAAUACAGUUGCACCAUUUGAUAAUACUAAUGACAACAACAACAAUAAUGAUAUAAUUUACAUCUAUUGAGCAUUUAGUGUAUGUCAGAUCCUCUCCUAAGUGCUCUCUACAUGUGGUAUCUCUUUUAAUUGUCACAACAAUCUAUGUGUAUUUAAUAUUAGUCUUAUUUUCCAUCAGAGCAGUUGAAGUUCAGCAAGGUAAAGGGACUUGUGUGUGUCAGGGUCUCACAGCUUGCAAAUAGUGGAUCUAGGCUUCAGAUGCUAGCCUGCACCUAAAGUCUGAGUUCAACCACUGCACCUCCUGGCCUCUUGGCAGUAUCCCUGGAGCCUCAGGACACCAAAUGGGGAAUCACUCCAUUCUUCCACACUCCUGGUACCUCAUCGGGCAGGAGUGGGGCUGGCCUUCCUGAUUCCCUGCCCCGGCAGAGGUGGGUUGUCCGUAGGGUGCCCCCACUGUCAGCCUCUUCCUCAGAACCUGGUUGUCCUUUCUGCUUCUACCAUGGCCUAUCUCAUCUCCUGCAGGUUUCCAACCUCUCUCUCUCUCUCUUUCUUGGUUUGACUUUACAAAUAAAAUAUAAAUUUAGCUAAGAGCUCAUACCACAAAAAGGGAAGAAGUGGUAAGUACAGGCAGCAAACAGAGCCCAAGGGUUAACACCCUGCUGCCACUGGGUGCAUGAGCUUUGCAAAGGGGUGGGGGGACUGAGGGUCCCCGGUCUGUGUUCUUGGACCCUCCAGGUGGCCCCUGACCACCUGGCUCAUGCUGAGGCUGGACCUCCCAGGCUCACCCCGACACAGGUAGAGCUUUUUCCAGGUAGAAUAUGCCUGUGGCUUCAAAAAGACCUCAAACAAUCUCUACUAUCAGAGGACUAUUCCUUUGGAUUAACAAGCUCCAAAUACCGAUAGGCUCACUCUAAAAAUUCAGGUGUCAGACAUUUUCAUCUUAGUAUAGCUGGGCUGAAUCACUGGGCUCAGAGCAAGGCUCCCAGGGGACAGUUAUGUUGGUAGGCAGUGGGAAGGGAGGAGAACUUUGGAACGUGGUGCAGGUGGGUUGAUGCAGGGGGCUGUGGGAGGGUGCACAGCUGCAUGUCUCUGCAGGUGAGGACUCCAUCAGCACCUUGGGCCUGAUCCUUGGCGUGGGGCUCUUGCUGCUGCUCGUGUCCAUCCUCGGCUACAGCCUGGCCAAGUGGUACCAGCGCGGGUACUGCUGGGAGGGGCCUAAUUUUGUCUUCAACUUAUAUCAAAUCCGGUGAGUAAAUUCAGGGAAUAUCUGGGUGAGGUGGGGGUUGGGGGUAGAUAUAAUGGAAAAAGAAUCAAAGAUAGAUUAAGAACUGACUGGUUCCCUUUCCUGUCUUCUGUUCAUGCCCCUAAGAAAAUAAAAGAAGGGCACGAGAAUCCAUUUAGAAAAGUCCCAUGAAUUAAAAUUUGAACACAGACAGGACUAUGUGAAACCCUGAUGACAAUGAUC